CCAGCUUCAGUGAGCACUGACUCCUGCGGCUGUGGAGAGAGAUACUAUGGACUGUAUGUGACGCCCCUUUUCUUUUUGUCCCUAUGAAAAAGGUGGCGACUUGUUCGGGGUGUACGCCGCCUUCCGGCCGAAUGCAGCUGCGAGGCUCCCGUGACCCCAAAAGGGACAAUCGGUAGAAAAUGGAUGGAUGGAUGGAUAUUAUAUAGGCUCAUAACAUGCAACUGAAGAUUCUUUUGAUAUCAUAUCGAUGAGUCUUGCUUCCAGUUUAUGUCAAAUUUGAGCAUCUCAGAAGAUUGGGGCUUUUCUAACUGUGAACCAUGAUCAUCAUAAUGAUAAGAAAUAAGCUUGCCAUAUCUCGCUGUAAUGAGUUGUUGUCACAUAUUAAUUUCACAUGUGAAGUUGAAUUGCUCAUAUAAAUCAACUUUAGCACAGUAUUACAUAUUUUGGAGUUUUCACAUGUCAUCUGUGGUAGUUUAAUAGUGUAAAUUGGAAUAAAUGUAAUAUAUCUUCAAUACUUUCUUUACACCCUAAAUCUGCCCAUGCUAAUAAACAACAUGAUUCUU